rnacentral:lncRNA from 1 species
GGGGGGGGGGGGGGGGGGGGGGGGGGGGGGGGGGGGGGGGGGGGGGGGGGCCGCUCUUCCGAUCUCUCAUGUCCGGCUAGGGGGGCUGCCAGGUACAGAGCUGGGGUCUGACCACAAGGGGGAAGGGGUCACAGAUCGGAAGAGCGGGGGGGGGGGGGGGGGGGGGGGGGGGGGGGGGGGGGGGGGGGGGGGGGGGGGGG